rnacentral:rRNA from 1 species
AGAGUUUGAUCCUGGCUCAGGAUGAACGCUAGCUACAGGCUUAACACAUGCAAGUCGAGGGGAAACGACAUUGAAAGCUUGCUUUUGAUGGGCGUCGACCGGCGCACGGGUGAGUAACGCGUAUCCAACCUGCCCAUCACUUGGGGAUAACCUUGCGAAAGUAAGACUAAUACCCAAUGAUAUCUCUAGAAGGCAUCUGAAAGAGAUUAAAGAUUUAUCGGUGAUGGAUGGGGAUGCGUCUGAUUAGCUUGGUUGGCGGGGUAACGGCCACCAAAGCAACGAUCAGUAGGGGUUCUGAGAGGAAGGUCCCCCACAUUGGAACUGAGACACGGUCCAACUCCUACGGGAGCA